UUUUAGAGUGUUUGGAUAAUGGGCUUAUUUCCUAUUUUUACUCAUUAAAAGAUCUUAAAUAAAAAGGUGGGGUAGAGGUACUUAUUUAAAAAGAUCUUAUUUGCUCUCCAACAGCUUAUUUAAAAAAAAAUUAAGAUCUUUUUCUAAAAAUUUACCAAACACUUUGGAAGAGCUUAUAAGCUCUAAAACAUCUUAUAAGCUCCUUUUAACAUCUUAUAAGCUUAGCCAAACACCC
rnacentral:lncRNA from 1 species